rnacentral:rRNA from 1 species
UACGUAGGGGCCUAGCGUUGUCCGGAUUUAUUGGGCGUAAAGGAUGCGUAGAUGGCAGGAUAAGUUAUUGGUCGAUAUCAAACUCAAUUUGGUGGAAGCUGGUAAUACUGUUCUGCUAGAGGACAGGAGAGGUUGAUGGAACUCUAUGUGUAGGGGUGAAAUCCGUUGAUCUAUAGAGGAACACCAAAUGGCGAAGGCAAUCAACUAUUCUGUUCCUGACAUUGAGGCAUGAAAGCGUGGGUAGCAAACCGG